rnacentral:rRNA from 1 species
CGGCUAACUUCGUGCCAGCAGCCGCGGUAAUACGAAGGGUGCAAGCGUUACUCGGAAUUACUGGGCGUAAAGCGUGCGUAGGUGGUCGUUUAAGUCCGUUGUGAAAGCCCUGGGCUCAACCUGGGAAUUGCAGUGGAUACUGGGCGACUAGAGUGCGGUAGAGGGUAGUGGAAUUUCCGGUGUAGCAGUGAAAUGCGUAGAGAUCGGAAGGAACAUCUGUGGCGAAGGCGACUACCUGGGCCAGCACUGACACUGAGGCACGAAAGCGUGGGGAGCAAACAGGAUUAGAUACCCUGGUAGUCCACGCCCUAAACGAUGCGAACUGGAUGUUGGGUUCAACUUGGAACCCAGUAUCGAAGCUAACGCGUUAAGUUCGCCGCCUGGGGAGUACGGUCGCAAGACUGAA